rnacentral:rRNA from 1 species
GCGGAGGAAAAGAAACCAACAGGGAUUCCCCUAGUAACGGCGAGUGAAGCGGGAACAGCUCAAAUUUGAAAUCUGGCCCUCGGGUCCGAGUUGUAAUUUGUAGAGGAUGCUUUUGGUGCGGUGCCUUCCGAGUUCCCUGGAACGGGACGCCUUAGAGGGUGAGAGCCCCGUACGGUUGGACGCCUAGCCUCUGUAAAGCUCCUUCGACGAGUCGAGUAGUUUGGGAAUGCUGCUCUAAAUGGGAGGUAUAUUUCUUCUAAAGCUAAAUACUGGCCAGAGACCGAUAGCGCACAAGUAGAGUGAUCGAAAGAUGAAAAGCACUUUGAAAAGAGGGUUAAAUAGCACGUGAAAUUGUUGAAAGGGAAGCGUUUAUCACCAGACUUUUUCUAGGGGGAUCAUCCGGCGUUCUCGCCGGUGCACUUCCCCUAGUUGAGGCCAGCAUCGGUUUUCGGAGGGGGAUAAAAGCUUCGGGAAUGUGACUCCCUCGGGAGUGUUAUAGCCCGUUGCAUAAUACCCUUCUGGGGACCGAGGUUCGCGCAUCUGCAAGGAUGCUGGCAUAAUGGUGAUCAACGACCCGUCUUGAAACACGGACCAAGGAGUCGAACAUUUAUGCGAGUGUUUGGGUGUCAAACCCUCACGCGUAAUGAAAGUGAACGGAGGUGAGAGCCCGUACGGGUGCAUCAUCGACCGAUCCUGAUGUCUUCGGAUGGAUUUGAGUAAGAGCAUAACUGUUCGGACCCGAAAGAUGGUGAACUAUGCGUGGAUAGGGUGAAGCCAGGAGAAAUCCUGGUGGAGGCUCGCAGCGGUUCUGACGUGCAAAUCGAUCGUCAAAUCUGCGCAUGGGGGCGAAAGACUAAUCGAACCAUCUAGUAGCUGGUUACCGCCGAAG